AGACGUCUUGUUGUUAACUCCGACAAUAUGGAAGUAACUGACACAAUGAAGAAUGGAGGACAUUCAGCGGGAGUGGCGGCGGCAGUGUUCGAUGAUUGUUAUUUUACGGCGUGCGAUCUUCCGUUAAUUAUAUUUGAAUAUUGUAAUAGGGAAGCAAAUAAAGUAGCUCAUGAAACUGCUAGAUUAGCUAAUUUUUUUACAAGGGAUUGAUUCGAGGAACCUAUGAAUGAUAUUGUAAAUUUCCUUAUAGACGAUGUAACCAUUAUUUUCAAUGAAUAA
rnacentral:rRNA from 1 species